UACGUAGGGUGCAAGCGUUGUCCGGAAUUAUUGGGCGUAAAGAGCUCGUAGGCGGUUUGUCGCGUCUGCUGUGAAAACCCGGGGCUUAACCCUUGGCUUGCAGUGGAUACGGACAGACUAGAGGUAGGUAGGGGAGAAUGGAAUUCCCGGUGUAGCGGUGAAAUGCGCAGAUAUCGGGAGGAACACCGGUGGCGAAGGCGGUUCUCUGGGCCUUACCUGACGCUGAGGAGCGAAAGCGUGGGGAGCGAACAGG
rnacentral:rRNA from 1 species